CCUACGGGUGGCUGCAGUGAGGAAUAUUGGUCAAUGGACGAGAGUCUGAACCAGCCAAGUAGCGUGAAGGAUGACUGCCCUAUGGGUUGUAAACUUCUUUUAUAUGGGAAUAAAAUGUUCCACGUGUGGGAUUUUGUAUGUACCAUAUGAAUAAGGAUCGGCUAACUACGUGCCAGCAGCCGCGGUCAUACGGAGGAUCCGAGCGUUAUCCGGAUUUAUUGGGUUUAAAGGGAGCGUAGGUGGAUUGUUAAGUCAGUUGUGAAAGUUGUAGGCUCAACCGUAAAAUUGCAUUUGAAACUGGCUGUCUUGAGUACAGUAGAGGGAGGCGGAAUUCGUGGUGUAGCGGUGAAAUGCUUAGAUAUCACGAAGAACACCGAUUGCGAAGGCAGCUCACUGGACUGCAACUGACACUGAGGCUCGAAAGUGUGGGGAUCAAACAGGAUUAGAUACCCGAGUAGUC
rnacentral:rRNA from 1 species